rnacentral:rRNA from 1 species
GUCAGCUCGUGUCGUGAGAUGUUGGGUUAAGUCCCGCAACGAGCGCAACCCUCGACCUUAGUUGCCAGCAUUCAGUUGGGCACUCUAAGGUGACUGCCGGCUAAAAGUCGGAGGAAGGUGGGGAUGACGUCAAAUCAUCAUGCCCCUUAUGACCUGGGCUACACACGUGCUACAAUGGGCGGUACAAAGGGUCGCGAACCCGCGAGGGGGAGCCAAUCCCAAAAAGCCGCUCUCAGUUCGGAUUGCAGGCUGCAACUCGCCUGCAUGAAGCCGGAAUCGCUAGUAAUCGCGGAUCAGCAUGCCGCGGUGAAUACGUUCCCGGGCCUU